AACGAACGCUGGCGGCAGGCCUAACACAUGCAAGUCGAGCGAGAUCUUCGGGUCUAGCGGCGGACGGGUGUGUAACGCGUGGGAAUAUGGCUCUUGGUACGGAAUAGCAUCGGGAAACUGGGAGUAAUACCGUAAGUGCCCUUUGGGGGAAAGAUUGAUCGACAUAAGAUUAGCCAGCGUUGGAUAAGGUAGUUGGUGGGGUAAUGGCCUACCAAGCUGACAAUCUAUAGUUUGUUUGUGAGAAUGAUAAGCCACACUUGGACUGAGACACGGCCCAGACUCCUACGGGAAGCAGCAAAGGGUGAUCGUAGACAGUCGCGUCAGCGCUGAUCUAGCCAUGCCGCUAGAGUGAUGAAGGCAUUGGAGUUGUAAUGCUCUUUCAGCUAGGAAGAUAAUGACGGUACCAGCAGAAGAAGCCCCGGCUAACUCCGUG
rnacentral:rRNA from 1 species